UGCACUUGGGGAGUAGGCUAAGCGGACUAAUGCUUGCACAAUAGGGCUUUGGCCCAAAACUGAAACAAUAAACACAGAAUCGAGUGAAAUGGUGGGGGUUGUGAAACUGAGCAUUGAGGACUUAGCUCCCAUGAGGUGCUGCCGAUCACUAAGCCAUCUAACUUAUCAUAGAGAUGUCCCACUUAAUCGAUCAACUUAACAUUUACGUGGAAAAUGCAAUGUCAUUACCACAGGGAACAAAUACUUAUGCAAUCAUGCUACAAGUAAAAUGAGUCUGCCUUGAAGCCCCCAUACCCAUCAAGAUCUGAAGGUUGAGAGUACCUCUUUACAAAAGGACAACAGUGGCACCAUGUGGCAGCAGUGAUGGGGUGACAUGGACUCCCGUGACUACAUCCGCAUGCGGUAUGAGAAGAGGCUGAGGGAGGGGCUGGAGGACAGGUCUGGAGGACAAGAUCAGCCAAUCUGCAACUUUGAGAAGUUCUAAGGGCGUUGGUCGCCGGAUGAUGGAGAAGCAGGGCUGGAAGGAGGGAAAGGGCCUGGGUCAGGAUUCCAGAAGCCCUGGAGAAUGAAGGACAGCAUCCCAAAUGCAAGAGGGGCU